rnacentral:rRNA from 1 species
CGCCUGUUUAUCAAAAACAUGUCCUUUAGUUAUUUAUGUAUAGGUUUGGCCUGCUCUAUGAAAUUUUAAAUGGCCGCGGUAUUAUAACUGUGCUAAGGUAGCAUAAUAAAUUGUCUUUUAAUUGAAGACUUGUAUGAAAGGUUGGACGAAGAUAUUUCUUUCUUUGAUUUAAUAAUUAGAAUCUAAUUUCUUAGUUAAAAAGCUAAGAUGUUAAAGAGGGACGAGAAGACCCCAUAGAUUUUUAUUUAUUAAAUAUUUGAUUUUGUAGUUAAUUAUUUUUUUAAAUAGUAAAAUAAGUUUAAUUGGGGUGAUUAUAGAAUUAUUUUAACUUCUAUUCUAUUUUUCAUUUAUAUAUGUUUUUUUGAUCCAUUUAUUAUGAUUAUAAGAUUAAAAUACCUUGGGGAUAACAGCGUUAUUUUUUUAAAGAGUUCUUAUCGAUGAAGGAGUUUGCGACCUCGAUGUUGGAUUAAAGUAAAUUUUAGGUGUAGAAGCUUAGAUUUUAGGUCUGUUCGACCUUUUAAACUUUACAUGAUCUGAGUUCAAACCGGAG